rnacentral:lncRNA from 1 species
GCUCCGGCUUCCCUCCAGGCGGCAGCGGAAGCUCCCGCAACCUCCGGAGCUUGUGCGCGUACUUCAGGGACCGGCACCACGUCACCGUCACCUCCUGAGUAGUCAAAAGCAAGAAAUAGGAAGAAACACAAGCAUACUAUAAAAUAAAAGGUAACUGUCAUGUUUUUGAAGGUAAGGUGUUUUGACAUAUCAGCAGACAUUGUGUGAAUUUAUUUCAACUCCUAGUGGUACUGGUGUAGGUAGAAAAUGUUUUGCUUGGUUAUUCAUUUCAUCAAACACUCUACUUCACUGUUUUUUUUUCACUUCAGGAAAAUUCGAGGAGGAACAACACAUACUAGUGUCUUUCCUUUCUUUCUCCCCGUCUUCUGCAAAUAGUCCCUUCCUCUUCCUGCUUUCUCCUCCUUCUCAUGUUAACAUCUUCAACCAUAAGAUGGUGUGUUAAAAGAUUGAAUAUACCUCUAUGGAAUGACUUCCAGAGGGUGUAAGUCUGAUAUGAGAGUUUUAUUACCUUGAGUAUUUUACUGGAAGAGAUAGAACAACAAACAUUUUCAUAAUAAAUGUGUGGGUUAGGAGUGUUAGGAGAAAAUACACUGAUACUAUUACUUUCAAUAUUUGAUACUACUUACUUUGACUCUCACUGAACACCUAUUUGUUUAGGAUGAAUUCACUUUAAGCCGGGUUGAAGAACAAGCCUUUAAUUGUCCUAUUAUUUGUGCCAAAUCUAUUAUAAAUUUGUUAAAAAAUUUUUAAUACCUACCUUAGAGGGUACUCUAGGUAUUUAAUGAGCUAGCAUUUGUUAAAGGCUUGUAUAGUAAGAAUUCUUAUAGUAAGAGUUCUUACCAAUAGAUGGUAUAUUUUUUAAAUUGUCCUGUUGCAUCAAAAAGUUCAUCUUUAUUGGUAAUGUUGAUUAAGUUUGCCCAUUUGGUAGUUUGGUUUCUUUUAACUAUCUUACUAGAUUUUCUUACUUUUACCUGAAAAGUAGUCCUUACUAAUAGGCACAUGUUUUGUAUAUUUCCAAAAUAUGUAUUAUGUUAAAUUCUCUGUACACUUUAUUUAAAAAUUACAGACGUUGAGGGAAAAAAAAUACCCUAUUAAGGGAAGAAUGAGUUUGUGUAUAACUUGUAGAAGAAGGAGGCCACCCAUUUUUAGAAAAAUAUGGAUGGUAUUGAAAAUUUUGCCAUGGCAAGGGAUAAAAAGGACAGGCUUCUCUAAUGUGUCUGAAACAACAUUUGAAUCCCCUUUGUUCAUUCCCUAAAUCUGCUGCUCCUUUAGAAUUCCUGAUUUUCAUAAAUAGUACCACCAUUCACUUAUUUGCUCAGGCAUAAAACUUGGAAUUUUCUGAUUCUUCACACUCAUACAACUCAUCAGACAGUACCAUCAGUUCUUCCUGACAAAUACAUUCUGAAUUUAGCUACUUAUCACUUCCACUGGUACAACCCUUGGGAGCCACCAUCAUCUGUUGCUGGACCACAGCAAUAACCACACUAGUUGCUAUCACUUUCUAUCUGUACCCUCAUGAAUAUUUUCCCAUUUAAACCAUUCUCUAUAUACCAACCAAAGCAAUCACUUAAAAAAUGUUAUUAGGUUAUGUCACUCCCUUGUUUAAAACCCUCCAAUAGCUUCCUUAUGCACACAGAAUGAAAUCGGAAUUCCUUACCAUAGCCUUCAAGACUGCAUAAUCUGGCUCCUGCCCACUUCUCCAUCUUCCCAGGAAGCAGCACAGGAAGUUGUUCUCACCCUUCUUACUGCCUCCUUUCUGUCGUGGGCUGUGCUUUUUCUAGUCUGUAGCAGAGUCUGUUAGUUGUCCCCAAAAAUUCCUCCAUUUUUUUCAUAGUAAUAGACAUGGAUACAUGGCUACCCAGAACAAAGACUAUAUUUUGCAGCCUUCCUUGUAGCCAUGUAAUAGUGCUGGCUGAUGGGAUGUAAGCAGUAUAUCAUGUGGCACACUUGUAAAACCAUCCUUAAAAGAUAGUUGGUGCACACCUUCAAUGCGGCUUUUCCUUUAUCCUGUACCGUGGAAUAUAGAUGUGAUGGCUUAGAACUGUAGCUGCCAAUUUGUGCCUCAUGCAAGUUCUCUCAUUCUAGGGAUGGCAAAACUAAACUGGUGGAAACCAGGGUCUGUGAGAACUUUAUGGAUCAGAGCACCAUGCUAGCCCUGCAGUCGUAAAUGUCUAUAUUAUUAAAGCCACUAUUUUGGAGUCUCUUGUUCUCAACUGAAUUUAAUCUUACCUGAUACUCUGUCUCAGGGCCUUUGCACUUGCUUUUUAUUUUUUAUUUAUUUAUUUUUUUUCUGCCUGGGAUGUGGUCUUCUGUCUUGGAUAUGGCUGACUCAUUCUCUUCCUUCAGGUUAACCCAAAUAUCUCUGACAGGCCUUCCCUGGCCACCGUAUCUAAAAUAGCUCACGUUCCCAUUUAUUCUCUGUCAAUCACGUGCCCCUCUAUUUUCUUAAUAGCAUUUAUAAUUUAUCAUUAUCUUGUUUAUUCACUGUUUAUUUUCUACCUCCCUUCACCCUACAAAAAUAUAAACUACACCUGUUUUUUUCCACUACUUUAUCCUUCACACAUGGUAGGCAUUAGAUAAAUGCUGUUAAAUUAGUGAGUGAAUGAAUCAACAAAAUUCUUAUCCAAGAUUAGCUAGACUUUUUAAAUAAUAAAUGAGUAAAUGUCAACAGAUAUCCUUAACACAAAAUUUGUAAAAUCCAAUCUAGGAAACAGGAAAAACAGUACUAAACUAAUAGGAUAUUCCUGACCUCCAACUUAAUAAAGAAGAUGUCUACCUUUUUCUGGGAAAUCUGUAAGGCUAGUACAAGUUAAAAAAAAAAAGACUGCACUGCAGUAUAUCCAGGGCUAAAAUUCACACUAAAAGGGGUCUGAAUUAUAAUUUACUAGACCUCAGUUUCUUCAUCUUAAAUAUGUGUAAGCUUUGAAUGGUAAUACUAUAACAGUUAAAAGUUUAAUAGUAAGCCCAACUUAUGAGUGACAAAACAUGUUAAACAUUAAUUUAGUCUUCAGGCACUAUUUUAACAAGUGGUUAUUUCUUGAUAAUACUGGCAAGGAUUCAGAGAAACAGGGCUGCUUAUAUUGCUGAGAGUGUAUGUUGGCAGCACUUUUCUAGAGUGCAGUUUGGCAAUAUGUAUCAAAAGCCUUGAGCCAUGUGCAUUUGACCCAGCGAUUCUUUUAGAAAUGUGUCAUAAGCAGGCUGGGUGCAGUGGCUCAUGCCUGUAAUCCCAGCACUUUGGGAGGCCAAGGCGGGUGGAUCACCUGAGGCCAGGAGUUUGAGACCAGCCUGGCCAACAUGGUGAAACCCCGUCUCUACUAAAUACAAACAAAUUAGCUAGGUGUGGUGGUGCACGCCUGUAGUCCCAGCUACUUGGAGGCUGAGGCAGGAGAAUCGCUUGAACCCGGAAGGCGGAGGUUGCGGUGAGCUGAGAUCAUGCCACUGCACUCCAGCUUGGGUGACAGAGCAAGACUCUGUCCAAAAGAAAAGGCCAGGCACGGUGGCUCAGAGAGCCACCUGUAAUGCCAGCACUUUGGGAGUCUGAGGUGGGGUUGGAUCACCUGAGGGCACAAGUUGAAGACCAGCCUGGCCAACAUGGUGAGACCCCAUCUCUACUAAAAAUACAAAAAUUAGCUGGGCAUGCUGGCGGGUGCCUGUAGUUUCAGCUAUUGGGAAGGCUGAGAUGGGAGAAUCACUUGAGCCCAGGAGGCAGAGGUUGUAGUGAGCCGAGAUUGUGCCACUGCAUUCCAGCCUAGGUGACAGAGCGAGACUCCGUCUCAAAAAAAAAAAAAAAAAAGAGAAAUGUAUUAUAAGCAAAUAAGGGUGUGUUUAACAAGUUAAUUGCAAGAGUAUUCUUUACUGCAUCAUUUAUUAGGAGAUUGGUUAAGCAACAUCCAUACAGUGAACAGUAUUCAGCCAUUUGAAAUGAUGUGGAGGAAAUUUUAUUGACAUGAUACAUUGUUAAGAGCAAAAGAAAAAGUUUUAAAAUACAAAUGUUUAAUUUGUAAGUCUCACAAACAUCAUCUAACGAAAUAUACACGAGGUGUUAAGUCAGCCUUGCAAACGUAACUAUUUUUUCAUUAUUUUUAUAUCAGUUACUGUUAUUGGAGCAUUUUAUAUUGACUGAGGAUCUUUAUUAAAACUUCUUCAGCCUUCUGUGAAAUCUUGUUAUGAUGGCUAUAGUGACACUAUAUAAAACACAUAACCAGAAUAUGUUUAUGCUCAAAUAUUUCAAGCAAUAUUUGAUGCUUAAAAUACCAAAGUGACAAUGAAAAUGAAAGAAAUUUGGAUAGUUCCUUAGAGUUAUUUGUUUGUGUUUCAGAUAUGAACAUAAAGUAUGUUUUUAAUAUUACCAGUUUUGAGAAUAAUAGAAUAAAUGCCUUCUCACCUUAAUAAGAUGUUCUGUUCUGACUCAGUAUUCAUUUGCCAUUUAUUUUUCAAAUGUAGCUGAAAUCUCAGUCAUGUUCCAGGCACUAUGUUUUGUCUCUGAGAGAGGAAAAACCAAACUUUUUCCCUGUUCUCAAAUACUACUCAAUACAAUACUUCUGCAACAAGAUGGGGUGGGAUAGCGGUCCCCCCUCACCCCCGCCCACAUCAAACCAUCAAUUUUCUAGCAGACAUCAGCUGGGUGUCUCAAUUCUAUUCAGUUCUGACACUAUCUACCUGGAGGCAGCAUCAGAUCGAACAGAUUGAGGGCUCGGUUCUGCAAGACUGCCCCCACCACUUCCAGUACCAGCCACAAGUAGUAGGUUGUCACCGAUACUCCUGACCAAGCUGUAAAUCAGGAUUCCCAUGAUCCCUUCCUCAGGUUCAAUUAGUUCACUAGAGUGGCUCACAGAAGUCGGAGAAACACUUUACUAGCAUUUACCCAUUUAUUAUAAAGGAUAUUACAAAGCAUACAGGUGAACAGCUGGAUGGAAGAGGAAUCUGCACACCUUUUCUCCCAUACCUUGCCCUAUGUAUAGGUAGGGAGAAGAGGUGUGGCAAUUCCAUGCCUUCUCCAGGCAGGCCAGCUUCCAGGAACCUCCUAGUGUUCAGCUAUCAGGAAGCUCUCUGAACCCUGCCUGUCCUUUUGGGCUUUUAUGGAUACUUCAUUAUGUAGGCAUGAUUGAUUACAUUAUUGGUCACUGGUGAGCAAAUAACCUUUAACCCCCUCUCCCCUCCCUGGAGGUGAGGAGCCAGGUUAAAGUUCCAACUCCCUAAUCACAUGGUUGGCUUCCCUGGCAACCAGCUCCCAUCCUGAGGCUACCCAGGAGCCCAUCAAGAGUUACCUCAUUAGAACAAAAGAUUCUCCUAUCGUCCAGGAAAUUCCAAGGGGCUUAGGAGCUCUGUCAGGAACCAAGGGUCAAAGACUGAAUAGAAUAAGAUUCUCCUAGUGCCCUUUAUCUAGAAGUUUUAGGACCUCUGGGCUAGGAAACAGAGACGAAAACUAAAACGUGCAUACAGAAGAUAGAUCUAUAUAUAUAAUAUUAUAAAUCACAUCACCUUGUCAUUUAGUUCUCAAGAAAACUAUGUGAUGUCAGAAUAAUAGUAUAAUUUUUUCCAUUUUCUUGUAUGCUACAUGUAUGUAGCAGAUAUCAUUUAAAUUGGUGAACCACAUUUCCCCCCCUUUAAAUAUCCUUGUCCAUAUAUUGAAUCUCUCUAAUACUCAUCACCUUUGGAAUUGAUCAUGGCAGUAUUAAAGGCACUUCUAUUCUGAACUGAACAUUAAAGAUGCUAUUACCCCUCCAGUGCUUUUGUGGGUCACUAUCAUCUAUAAAAAAUAUCCUAAAAGGAGAAGCCAAAUAAAUGAGGUAAUCAGUGGAAAGAAUAUAAGAUCCUUGGAAUCUAAAAAAUGGCUGUAACCAAUCAGCAUAAUAAAACCUCUAACAAUAGAAAAAUAGUUAACCACUUAGUUUAGCAUCUGCUAAAUGGCAAGCACCAUAAUUACAUGAUUUCACUCAAUCUGUGUAACAUUUCUGUGUGAUAGGUGGUAUUUGCAUUUUACAGAUGAGGAAAUGGAGGCUUUAAGAGAGGUUGCUAGAUAUAUCUAGAAAACCCCAUUGUCUCAGCCCAAAAUCUCCUUAAGCUGAUAGGCAACUUGCGCAAAGUCUCAGGAUACAAGAUCAAUGUGCAAAAAUCACAAGCAUUCUUAUACACCAAUAACAGAGAGCCAAAUCAUGAGUGAACUCCCAUUCACAAUUGCUUCAAAGAGAAUAAAAUACCUAGGAAUCCAACUUACAAGGGAUGUGAAGGACCUCUUCAAGGAGAACUACAAACCACUGCUCAAUGAAAUAAAAGAGGAUACAAACAAAUGGAAGAACAUUCCAUGCUCAUACGUAGGAAGAAUCAAUAUCGUGAAAAUGGCCAUACUGCCCAAGGUAACUUAUAGAUUCAGUGCCAUCCCCAUCAAGCUACCAAUGACUUUCUUCACAGAAUUGGAAAAAACUACUUUAAAGUUCAUAUGGAACCAAAAAAAGAGCCCACAUCGCCAAGUCAAUCCUAAGCCAAAAGAACAAAGCUGGAGGCAUCAAGCUACCUGACUUCAAACUAUGCUACAAGGCUACAGUAACCAAAACAGCAUGGUACUGGUACCAAAACAGAGAUGUAGACCAAUGGAACAGAACAGAGCCCUCAGAAAUAAUGCUGCAUAUCUACAACCAUCUGAUCUUUGACAAACCUGACAAAAACAAGCAAUGGGGAAAGGAUUCCCUAUUUAAUAAAUGGUGCUGGGAAAACUGGCUAGCCAUAUGUUGAAAGCUGAAACUGGAUCACUUCCUUACACCUUAUACAAAAAUUAAUUCAAGAUAGAUUAAAGACUUAAACGUUAGACCUAAAACCAUAAAAACCCUAGAAGAAAACCGAGGCAAUACUAUUCAGGACAUAGGCAUGGGCAAGGACUUCAUGUCUAAAACACCAAAAGCAAUGGCAACAAAAGCCAAAAUUGACAAAUGGGAUCUAAUUAAAGAGCUUCUGCACAGCAAAAGAAACUACCAUCAGAGUGAAAAGGCAACCGACAGAAUAGGAGAAAAUCUACUGCAAUCUACUCAUCUGACAAAGGGCUACAAUGAACUACAAUGUAGAUCCAGAAUCUACAAUGAACUCAAACAAAUUUACAAGAAAAAAACAACCCCAUCAAAAAGUGGGCAAAGGAUAUGAACAGACACUUCUCAAAAGAAGACAUUUAUGCAGCCAAAAGACACGUGAAAAAAUGCUUAUCAUCACUGGCCAUCAGAGAA